UACGGGACGAUCCACGCAGCGUAUCCCA
rnacentral:sRNA from 1 species